UUUCCGCUGGAACAUGGUAAAUAUGUCGGCAAAACAAUGAUAGUCUUUCGUUUUCAAGGGUUAAUUCCUUGAAUGUUUCCACGAUGAAGGAGAUGCUCGGCGGUUGUUGUGUUUGUUCAGACGAAAGAGGGUGGGCUGAAAACCCGCUAGUUUACUGCGACGGUCAGGGUUGUAACGUAGCUGUUCAUCAAGCUUGUUACGGGAUUGUUCACGUGCCGAAAGGACCUUGGUAUUGCAGAAAGUGCGAAUCACAGGAACGAUCGGCGAGAGUUGAGUGGAAGCUUCACCGGAUCGUUAGACAGUUUCAUGACUGGAUCCACGAACAAGAUAUCCUCGCUAGGGCGAACUGCCUCACAGAGCGAUAACGAAAUCGACCAAGCGGCUAAAAGGUCAAGGUCGAAAUCCCAAGAGAAAUUUGAGAAAAAGAUGAAAAGAACAAAACAACUGAACACCUUGGGUAACAAAAAACUCAGCAGGAAUGGUUCUACGGAGAGUAAGGACACAUCCCCUACCGGAUCCCGGAAAGUCCGCAGAAAACCGGAACUGACAACGCCCAGUAUAGGGACCAACUCGAAUAAUGUGAGUUUAAACAGUUUCUCUGUGUUUGGAGGCAGUCCACAUUUUCAGAGUAUCGGAGUUCCAGGACCCCUCACUUUCUCAUUUACUCAAAACAACCCGGGCUCUGGCCUCGGGUCAUGUAAUGAUCUCACGGAAGGGGCCUGUGGACCACCCAAGAUAUUUCCUAGUCAGCAGUCGCCACAGAAGGAACCACCAAAUGGGGAGUUUCCGACAUCCCUGGAACAGCUGUUGGAGAGACAAUGGGAACAGGGCUCACAGUUCCUGAUGAAGCAAGGCGAACAUUUUGACAUUGCCUCCCUUCUUCAUUGUCUGCAUCAGCUGAAAUCAGAGAACCAUAGACUGGAGGGUCACAUCAAGUCGCUGGCCACGCGGCGGGAUCACUUACUAGCGGUCAACGCCAGGCUGUCUAUCCCAUUCUCCUCCCCCCUCCACCCGGACUCAUUCCUCUCCUCGGACAAACCCACUGACGGAAAAAUCGCGGAGCCAUCUUUGAUGCAGGAUGUGGCCUGUUUAACAGCUGAUAAUCCUGUACAGGCAGGAGGCUCUACCACAGUUCCAGCAGUAACCUGUGUCUCAUCGCUGCCUCCCAUGACUUCAGUACUCAACUUAUCUGUAUCCAAUACUCUGUCGGCUAUGGACAGUACGCCCACAUCAAUGGAGGUCACCCUCCCCUCAUCAUCAACGCCGGACAAAAGCAAACCAGAUGUGACCUGAACUCUACUUUUAUUGUACCAUUGACUCUUGUUUUAAAUUAGAUAUAUAUAUGUAUACACAGAACUAAUGUUAAAGUAUUAAUAAAAAAA
rnacentral:misc_RNA from 1 species